rnacentral:rRNA from 1 species
GUACCCGCUGAACUUAAGCAUAUCAAUAAGCGGAGGAAAAGAAACCAACAGGGAUUGCCCCAGUAACGGCGAGUGAAGCGGCAACGGCUCAAAUUUGAAAUCCGGCCCCCCGGGGCCCGAGUUGUAAUUUGUAGAGGACGCUUCUGGCACGGCACCUUCCAAGUCCUCUGGAACGGGGCGCCGCAGAGGGUGAGAGCCCCGUACGGUCGGACGCCAGGCCAGUGUGAAGCUCCUUCGACGAGUCGAGUAGUUUGGGAAUGCUGCUCAAAGUGGGAGGUAAAUUCCUUCUAAAGCUAAAUACCGGCUAGAGACCGAUAGCGCACAAGUAGAGUGAUCGAAAGAUGAAAAGCACUUUGAAAAGAGGGUUAAACAGCACGUGAAAUUGUUGAAAGGGAAGCGCUCAUGACCAGACGUGCGCCCCGCGGAUCACCCGGCGUUCUCGCCGGCGCACUCCGCGGGGCGCAGGCCAGCAUCGGUUCUCGCGGGGGGACAAAAGCCCGGGGAACGUGGCUCCUCCGGGAGUGUUAUAGCCCGGGGCAUAAUGCCCUCGCGGGGACCGAGGUCCCGCGCGUCCGCAAGGAUGCUGGCGUAAUGGUCAUCAGCGACCCGUCUUGAAACACGGACCAAGGAGUCAAGGUUCUGCGCGAGUGUCUGGGUGUCAAACCCGCACGCGUAAUGAAAGUGAACGCAGGUGAGAGCUUCGGCGCAUCAUCGACCGAUCCUGAUGUGCUCGGAUGGAUUUGAGUAGGAGCGUGGUGCCUUGGACCCGAAAGAUGGUGAACUAUGCUUGGAUAGGGUGAAGCCAGAGGAAACUCUGGUGGAGGCUCGCAGCGGUUANAACGUGCAAAUCNAUCGUCAAAUUUUAACUGG